UGUCUUUUUGAAAAUAAUAUAAAGUCUAAUCUGCCCACUGAUUUAAUAUUAAAGGGCUGCAGUAUAUUGACUGUACAAAGGUAGCAUAAUCAUUAGUCAUUUAAUUGAUGACUUGUAUGAAGGAUUGGAUGAAAUAUAAACUGUCUCUUAAUUAAAUAUAGAAUUUAAUUUUUUAAUUAAAAAGUUAAAAUGAAUUAAAAAGACGAGAAGACCCUAUAGAGUUUUAUAAUUAAUUUAAUUAAGAUUAUUUAAUUAAAUUAAAAUUAAAUUAUUUAUUUUGUUGGGGUGAUGGAAAAAUAUAGUUAACUUUUUUUAUUUUAGAACAUUUAUAAGUGGUUAAAUGAUCCAAUAUUAUUGAUUAUAAGAAAAAAUUACCUUAGGGAUAACAGCGUAAUUUUUUUUUUUAGUUCAAAUAAGAAAAAGAGUUUGCGACCUCGAUGUUGGAUUAAGAUAAAAUUUAAAUGCAGAAG
rnacentral:rRNA from 1 species